UACGUAGGGGGCAAGCGUUAUCCGGAUUCACUGGGCGUAAAGGGAGCGCAGGCGGCACGGCAAGUCUGAUGUGAAAACCCGGGGCUCAACCCCGGGACUGCAUUGGAAACUGCCGGGCUGGAGUGUCGGAGGGGUAAGCGGAAUUCCUGGUGUAGCGGUGAAAUGCGUAGAUAUCAGGAGGAACACCGGUGGCGAAGGCGGCUUACUGGACGACAACUGACGCUGAGGCUCGAAAGCGUGGGGAGCAAACA
rnacentral:rRNA from 1 species